AUUGAACGCUGGCGGCAGGCCUAACACAUGCAAGUCGAACGGUAACAGGAAUAGCUUGCUAUUUGCUGACGAGUGGCGGACGGGUGAGUAAUGCUUGGGAACUUGCCUUUGGGAGGGGGAUAACAGUUGGAAACGACUGCUAAUACCGCAUAACGUCUACGGACCAAACGGGGCUUCGGCUCCGGCCUAAAGAGAGGCCCAAGUGAGAUUAGCUAGUUGGUGGGGUAAAGGCUCACCAAGGCGACGAUCUCUAGCUGUUCUGAGAGGAAGAUCAGCCACACUGGGACUGAGACACGGCCCAGACUCCUACGGGAGGCAGCAGUGGGGAAUAUUGCACAAUGGGGGAAACCCUGAUGCAGCCAUGCCGCGUGUGUGAAGAAGGCCUUCGGGUUGUAAAGCACUUUCAGUUGUGAGGAAAGUUGGUAGUUAAUACCUGCCAGCUGUGACGUUAACAACAGAAGAAGCACCGG
rnacentral:rRNA from 1 species